rnacentral:lncRNA from 1 species
UGUAUGUUCCUGGUUUUUUCUUCAACGGUACCACAUCAACAAUUGGUGGAACCAAUUAUUGAAUUCUGAUUUUUAUUAUAUUAUACUAUUAUUUUUAUUUUAUUUUUUUACGAUUUGACAAUAUUAAUUCCGAUUUGAGAAUAUUAGUAAUUUAUUUGGGACGUCCAAUCGGACCCAACGUCCAUGAAGAAUGGUAAUUAAAAAAAAAGAAAGAGAGAGAGAGAGAAAAUUACUUGGGACCGAACACGUAGCACGUUAUCUUAUUUGGAAUGUUUUAUCAGCAGAAUGAUUUAUCAUCUACUAAUUUAUUUUAUAACGUUUUCCAAUAAAAUAAGUAAUGAGUUCGCUAGCGUGUAUAAUUAAUUAUUCUCUAGGCAGGGAUGGUUCAUUAAUCUUUAAUAACCGAAUUUUUAGGGGCAAUAGCUCUGGUUUGUUAGGUAUUUAACGCUAUCUGCCUAUUUCUAUCGGGGCACUAAAUAAAAGCCAUUAAUUCAAAAUCAAGCUAAAUCAUAGUAGACUUUGUUUGAUUUCACCUCCUGCAAAUUAAGUUAAUUUAGAUAUGGAUGUCAUUAAAAGAGAGAAUAUAAAAUAUUCCCUAUUACCAAUAGGUGUCACACUGUCACGUAUAUUAAAUUGGAAUAAAUAUAAUUUAUGAACUAAAACUUUAAAGCAUUUUUUUCAAAAUGACUUGAGAUUUCAUUUAUUUUUUAAAAAUCUCACAAGCAUUGCAAAAAGGUUUCACUUUAGCCGGAGACCUUAUAGAAUCCAACACAGGAAAAUUAAAUCGGCCUGUAAAAUUUUGGAUUAAAUACGCAUAAAGUCACAAAUUUUAAUUGAAACACGUUUUACCACAAAUUUUGAAAAUUUCAAUUUUUAUCAUAAAAAAAUAUGUUUAUUUAAUUUUCUCAUUGUUUUCAUUUCUGAUGACAGUAAAAUUGAUAUGGUAUUUAUAUGAAUUUAAUUUGACACGUAACACUUAGGGGGAUUGAAUAUAAUGUAAUUAACCCUAAAAUCACAAAUAAUGUAGCGACACCUAGAUCCUCAACAUUUUUUUCCCCUUGAAAUAGCUUUACCUUGGACUGCCACGUGCACCGAAAUCUCAUCUGCUCCAAUUUCCCUGCCGGCCGGCCUUGUCUUGCAAUCUCCGCCGCCUUCUUCCUCCCCCGCCCUUGCCUACCUUCUAUUUUCUGGAAUGCAAUCAUCCACCAAUUUCUGGAAUGCACAUCAGUCCUUCUAGCUUGCUUAAUGCAACAUUUUUCUUUGCACAACUCACACUAUUCUUUCUAAAAUCCUGCUUUUUAUAGUCAUCUUCUUUUUCACAAAACUUGCUUUUAGUUCAACCUCUUGUUUCUUUUUUUCAGGCUUAUUCUCCAACAUUUAAAGCCCCAACUUCGGUUGCUCACUCCAUUUUCCUCCCUCGACUCAAUCACCUGGUUGCAGAUCGCGUCAAAUGAUAAUUGAGUGUUUCGAUUUCAAUUCUAGUGAUUCAAUCAUAAAUUUAUACAAAAUGAAAAUGACGUAAUUUCGUACAAGAACCAAAUGAUGCGUUUAAGUUAUCUGACAAUAAGUUGUGGCGCGGCGAGCCACAUUAGCACCACGUCUAUUUUUAAAAAAAUAGAAAUUGGGAGAAAAUAAUAAUGGUGGAAAAAUUGAAUAAAUGUGAAAGUUUUUUAUUAAAAAAAUAAAAUUUUCAAAAAUCAUGGGCAAAACUAUAUGGAUAUGGACUAAUAACAUAAAAUACAAUAUGAAUAUGGAUAGCCGAGUUAUUGAAGAAUUAAUUAGAAGAAUGUUAGUGGAGAAGUAAAAGUUUUUAAUGCAUUAUUAUCAGUAUUACAUAAAAAGGCUAUUUCUCUCUCUCAAAAAACAAAGAGGCUACCACGCAGCCCCAAACGCAACAAAUAGCCCUGCCAAAAAACCAGCUUGCUUGCAUUACAUAUUUACCAUGUAACGACGUUUCUUUUUGCCAGUUUCAAAUAAAAUCCAUUUUUUUCACCAUUAUGCAGCCACGAUAUUUCUACAAAAUCAUGACUACUCCCAUCGUAUUUCAGGCCAAAGCCAUGACUACAAACCUCAUAAUUUCGACUGCAUUUUUAGCUCUUGUUGUUUCCAUUUUGUUACUCUAUUUUGAUGCCAUCAGCAUUCAAGAUUCCAAUAUUCAUCAAGAAUUCAAGAAUGAUACCUCAUUGGUGCCCAACAAAAUUCAUGACGCCGUCGUUUUACCAAUGCCCGGCGGCGCCGUCGGGCCGGAGAGCUUCACCUUCGACAGCCGCGGCGGCGGCCCCUACACCGGCGUCUCCGACGGGAGGAUUAUCCGGUGGCAGGCGAAUGAAAGCCGGUGGGUGGACUUCGCCGUCACAUCGCCCAAGAGGUCACUUUUUCCUUUUAAUUUCUUUCUGUUCCUUUUUACGAUAUUUACAUUUAUAUUUUCAUCAUCUUUUUUUUCUUAAAUGAUAUUCUCAUCAUCAUUAACACUUCCUCUUAAUUUAUUUAUACAUAUAUGAAAUUAACCGAUAAUACUAGUAGAUUCUCGUGAAAAUUAUAUUUUCUUAAUAUUUUACUAAACAUAUAAAAUUAUUGUAUUCGUAGUAAAAUUAAUUAAAAAAAAUUAAACCUUAUAAUAUUCGAAUCUAAGUAAUGCAAUAACAGUAAAUUUUACAAUAUAAAAAUUAGAAAAAGAAAAAAAAUAUAUACCUUACGAUUUAAAUAAAGUUGUGAUUUGAACUCCGUCUCCAUCACAUAUAGGGAAACGUAAGUAAGAACCAAAACGGUUUAAGUUGGUUUCCCCUAUUUGGUGAGAUACCAUCUGCUCGCUUUGUUUUGUUUGUAUGAGCGAUAUUGCUUGCGUGUGAAAAAAUAUACUGCAUUCUGU